CAUUGAAAUUCAGAGAUGGUUCUCCAUUUCUGUUUUCACAACUCAGAUUGAGAGUUAAAACAAGUGUGAAUUUAGAAACCUGACUUUUGUUUGAAAAUCUUGUUAUUUUGAGAAGGAACAUUUUGCAAUAGAUUUUUUUCCUGCUACUUUUAACAUUAUUUUUUAUUUGUAACAAAGUAAUAUAAAUACAUGGUUUUAAAAAAUCUAGCAUCAUAAAGAUUUUUAAAAAAGGUCUCCCAUACCAUCUCUUUCUAUCUUCAGUCUCUCUUUCAUUAGAACCAUUUGCUAAAUGUUUUUCUGUUUAUUUCUUCUUGUAGCCCCACAUCAUGAACUCAAAUGGAUAUGUCUUGAUUAAUCCAUUUCAUUCAUUGUCUAUAAAUGUCUUUGUGUGAUAGGUGAAUAUUUAACAUUCCUUUCUUCUACCACCCUGUUCUCAUUUUGGGGAUUAGAAUAAUCUUUUCAAACCUCUUUGUGCUAGGGUUAGGACUCUUUGUUUUUUUUAUACAUUUUUCUUCAAUUCCCUGAUAAUUGAUAUUUCUACUGUGGUAACUUUUCCAAAUUUGUUUAUCAUGAUCUUUCUCUUCCUAGAGGUUUUUCUUCAAUUUCUAUCAUUUUUGAUUAUGCUUGCAUAUUGAGAGUCACUGGCAGUGUCAGAUGUGUGAAUGGGGCCUGUCAAGUGGCUGACUUCAUUUUGGGUAAUUGAGCAGAGAACUGGAAUUUUUCUGAAGAGUAGAAUAUGAAGCAGUUUUGCUUUUCAGGCAAAUACUCACUUAUCCUAUGUGGGGCACAUGCAGCCAUGUCCAUUUCAUUAGAAGGAAGUCCUCCUCGCCCUCCCACUUCCCCUCACACUUGGGUGGGUUUGCAUUGCUUAGGGAUAAGGGUGAAUGCGGACUACUUCAGCUCUCCUAAAAAUUAAUACCAAGGUCAGCUCCCUCCAUCGUGGGACCCUUCUCCUUCUUAAGUUCUUUGUGGGUGUGCCCUCCUCUGUUUGUCCAUGUUUGAUAAAUCUUCCACCUGCUAAAAGCCCUGGUCCAAUUUAUUAUAGUAAUUUAUACUUUUUACUCUUUAUUGACCCCUAGUGAGGAUCUCGAGGUAAGAAAAGAAAAUAUUUAGUUGGCUGUCCUGAACCAGAAACCACGUUAAUUUUUAAGAUAAAAUUCAUUGUAUUUUGUUUUAAAUAGAUGAUCAGUGAAGAAAACAUGUUAUACUCGAGAAAAACAUGAAGGAAGUAACCAUCAACAAUUGUCUCGAUAUUAAUAAUAAUGGCAUUUUCCUACUUUUUUCAAAUUUCUAGAUCAUUUUGUUUCUGUUUCUAUAGCUCUAGUGUAGAUUUGGUCCAACUUUGAGCCCAACAUUGUAUGCUGAACAUUUUCCAUGCGAAUAAUAAUUACUCAAAAAUUAAAGGAAAAAAUAAUUCUUUAUUGUACACAUGAGUAUAUCAUAAAAUAAUUUACUCUUCCCUCAUGGUUAGAAUAUAGAAUAUUUUCUCCUUUAUCACUGCAUUAUAAAUAAUGCUGCAGUGAAAAUACUUUACAUAAUCUUUAUCCCGAUUCCUGAUUAUUUCCCUAAGCUUUUAUCUUAAAAGUAAAGUUUCUGAAUCAAAGUCUAUACAAAUGUUAAAUUCCACAAUUCGUGUGCCUGAUCUCUUUACAAUAAAAUGUAUCCAUCAGCAAUUUAUGGAGCAAUAUUCAUCACCAAUAUUUCUACAUAAUAUGGUAUUAACUUUUUUUUUCCUUUUUAGUGCCACAGCAGUGACAUUUGGAAGUUCCCAGGCCAGGUGUCUAUUUGGAGCUGCAGCUGCCAGCCUUCGCCACAGCCAUGGCAACUCAGGAUCCAAGGAUCCAAGCUGAGUUGUCUGCCACCUACACCACAGCUCAUGGCAAUGCCAGAACCUUAACCCACUGAGCAAGGCUAGGGAUCAAACCUGCAUCUUCAUGGAUACAAACUAGUUGGGUUUGUAACCCACUGAGCCACAAGGGGAACUUCGAUGUUAACAUUUUUUAGAUGUCAAUAUUAUAUAAAGAAAUUACAUCUUAUAUUUCUUGGUUUUUCUUUAAUCACUAACAAGUUUGCAUCUUUUAAAUUUUACUUGUCUCUGUUUCUUCUUUCACAAAUUAUCUGCUUAGAUCCUUUGCUAAUUUUUGCAAUCAUGAUAUGUAAUGUUUGCAUUUUAGAAUUUUGCAACAAACGAAAAUGUGUUCCAUAUCAAAGAUACCUCAAUGGACAGCUAGUUUUGUUUUGGAAAUUUUGUAGUGUAUAGCCUGCCCGAAAUAUCCAAUCAAUUUUUAAGUUUUCUGUGGAUACUGUCAUCAUUUACAUAUAGUUUUUCAUGUUGCCAAACUUUUAAAAAUAAAUCAUAAGCACAAUAGAAGCAUAAAGAAAUGAAACAUAUAGCAAGAAUUAUAAUAUUAUAUUCUUAACACAGAACGAACACCUAAUUUGGAAGACAGUUGUGAAGAAUGCAAAGCAGUGCAGGAUCUAGUAUAGUGCUUGCUGAUAGGCUACUCCUUCAUAAGUAUUUGGUGAACGAAUGAGUCAGAAUUAUGCGCAAGCAGAGGACUGCAGACACAGCUGGUGAUAAGUUCUCCUCCUUCUUUCAGUCUUUUCUGUGAUUUGAUAAGUAAAUAAGGCAGAUCAGGAGUUCUUCUGUUUUCAUUUUUCUGUAUUGCUGAAAAUAAUCACAUCCACAAUAUUUCCUCAAGGUGAUGUUUUAUUUAUUAGCUAAUGCUGUCAAAAAAUGGUCUAAACUCUUCAGAACAGCAUUGGGCAAGUACAAGCAGCUCUGAUUGUUAUCACACAUAAUGGAAAGGUUAUUAAUUCACAUUCAAGGCAGAUACAGUUGCAAAUGUUGGUGUUUCUUUAAAUAGAAGUUUGUAUGGUUGUUUCUAUACCAAUUAAAAUAACCUUUGAAAUGGUUUAAAGUUAUUCUCUCUUUGGCAAGAAUUCUUUUUUGCAAAACCUUUUAAUUGUACAAAACAAUAUCAGAAUCAUAUUAAAGCUAAUUUUGGGGGUAAAAUGAAACAAAAUUGUUUCAAGGCAUAGCUAUUAAUUUAGAUUCUAUUUUUGUAGCUGUUAAGGAUAUAUAUUUGUUAGCACUUAUUGUAGACAGUUCAAACUAGGUAUGAGUGUUAAUAAAUUUUCAGUGAACUUGAACUCUGCAAAAAACAAACAUAAAAAAAGAAUUUAGGAGUAAUUUCAAUCGUCUAUUUUGAUUGCCCCAAAUCAUUAUAUUAGCAUUUUUGAGACUCUCUAGGUUACAAAUAAUGGAAUUCGUCUGUGAUCUUUAUAUCUUAUCUUUAUUCCUUCCUUUAUUCCUUCUUCUCUUUAUUCCUUCCUGUGUGAGUUCUUCUCCUCUAUAUGUGAGAUUUCUGGCUGCAGGAGAAAGAAUAGAAUCCAGGAUGACUGUAAAAGUAGCCCUUAUUGCUAGGAAUAGUGACAAUGCCAGAACUUUUCAAGAGAUCAACAUAGAUGUUAGCAGUAAAGAGAUUAUUAUGUUUUUGUGGCAGGAAUAUUUGGUAUAAGGAAAUAGCAAACCCAGAGCGCAAUCUUUGUUAAGAUGUGGAUAGUCUGUUGGAGAAUGAAAAAACAGUAGCUGCUUGAUAAAAUUUGAAACUUUGGAUCCAACCAAGCAAGAACUACCACCUGUGUUUUCUUAUUAAAUGAGCCAACAGGUUUUCCUUUUUAGUCUAAACUAAUUUGAGUUUUGUUUCUAUUUCUUGUUAAAGAACUGUGUCCUGAUGUCUUAUGUAGAUACUGUGUAUGUAGCUUCCAUCUCCAAGUGAAAUGAACAAAAACAAACCCAAUGUAGAUUAGUGUGGAUGCUGACAGUAAGGGCACAGAAGCCCAGACUGAUAGAACAGUUUGUAAAAGGCAUUGAAGUAAGAGAGAUAGCGACACAUUAAGAAAAUCAAUAAUAUUUGCGGGUGUUAAAGUCUGGCACAGAAGGAACUUGAAAGUUAUCACUCUGUCCUAAAAAAAAAGUAAAAAACUGGCCCAAUCAUACCCACAACUCUUCUUAAAUCCAUCAGAGAACUGAAGUCACAGAACAAAUUGCUGCCCCCUAAAAACUAGAGAGAUAAGAGGACAUGGAAAAUCACAGUUUACUGAAGGAGAAAUCCAAACUGUAAUUGACAAAUUGCUAGAGGUUCAGUGUGGGCAAUCCUGAGAUUUAAAAACUCAAGAGGACCCAGUCUUAGGGGGAAUCUUACAUUAAGCUUAUUACCAUAUGAUCCAGCAGUCACACUCCCUUGGUAUUUACCAAUAUGGGUUAAAAACAUGCCCACAAAAACAAAACAAAAAA
ensembl:lncRNA